UACGGAGGGUGCAAACGUUAAUCGGAAUUACUGGGCGUAAAGCGCGCGUAGGCGGCUUGGUAAGUCGAUUGUGAAAGCCCCGGGCUCAACCUGGGAAUUGCAGUCGAGACUGUCAGGCUAGAGUGUGGGAGAGGGCAGUGGAAUUCCCGGUGUAGCGGUGAAAUGCGUAGAUAUCGGGAGGAACAUCAGUGGCGAAGGCGACUGCCUGGCCCAACACUGACGCUGAGGUGCGAAAGCGUGGGUGGCAAACAGG
rnacentral:rRNA from 1 species